UUUUUUUUUUUUCUCUCAUGCGUUUUCAUGCCAGUUAAAAUUAGUCAUAAUGGGUAAACUGCCUCUUAUAGGCCAAUAAAAAUAUGAUUUGUACAUCAGGACUGCAUAUAGACCCAAUGUCUAGAAAACAUCCACCUGUAGCCACAUCACUGAAAUGUCAUCUGAUGUUCAGCUGGAAGGUUUAUUGUAACAUGAACCUGGUUAAAAAUCCACUGCAAAGCGGGGCUUUUUUUAUCAAUAAUCUAAAGUAGCCAUAUCAGUUUUGUUUCCAAAUCACAUUUACUAACCAUGCUUCAUAAAACUUCUACAUUGCAGAAACUUCUGGUUAAACCUUCUCUGAUCAAACUGAGCCAUCAAACAAAAGCCUGACACAAAAGCAAUCGUCUAAAAAAAAUUCUUUCACUGGAGGAAUUGCGCUUUUCAGCUUAACAUUCAAAGUUCUUGAUAACUCAACAACUUCAUCAGAAAUGAUGCACCUGCUCACCAAGGGCAUGUGCUUUCACAUGAAAUUCCAACCAGAACACAAAGAUCCAUACAGUGUAGAUUGAGUUCUUUAAGAUGGGCUUGUUUGUGGGUUGGUGUGUGUGGGCGUGUGGGGGUGCGUGUGGGCGUGGGCGUGUGUAUGUGCCAUAAGUGAAUAUUCCUGAAAAUCAGCAGGAAGCUCCAGUUGCUGGAGGAGAAUGGAAGCCAAACCACAAGCGCAGAGAGAAGCCAGUUCUGUCAGUUUGAAGAGGUGUGUGUUCAGGGCACGUCACAACAGAGACUCACAGAGACCUUGGAGAAGAUUCUUCCAUCGUCCCCAACUCCCACUGUUGAUGCCAUGAUGAAUGACCAAAGACACCAUUUCUGGAAUUAUGCACCUCGGCAGCAUGCAAACAACAGACUAGAGCGUUAAACAAGAACGUGGGUGUGGAAGCGUACAGGCGGAUGAAAGGGCAUCAUCAUGGACCUCGAGGGCAGGGAGACACAUAAUGGCAAGACAAAGCUUGUUGGUUUCUAAUUGCUCUGACAAAGCUGUCCUUAACUCUUUAAAGCCACAAAAAUGACACUCAGAGGGCCGUACCCUGCACAGUGCUUGUUGUUGAGCUGUCCGCUCUUAUCUAUUAUUGUCGAAAUCGCUUCCAAAACAAGCCUUUAAAUCAUUUCUGUUUUGUCUCAAUGCCAGCUUUAUUUCCACUGCGUGGAAUACAUUAAAUGUGUGCAGAACCCAAACUAAGCUGGCCCUCUAAAACAUAUCCAAGUGUGAGAAUAUGUUGCCCCAGAUUUGCUCCGUUUCUGCCAAAAAGUUCUGCAAGACUCUCUGAGGCUGGAGUGUAUCUGUCUCAACUAGACAUCUCAACUGUAUUCCAGUUAAUGAGACACUGACAACAGUCCCACUUUUCAAACCAGACUCUCCAGCAUUGUAAUUUCUGUGUGGUAAAAUUGUUUCCUGCUGCUUAAGACUGCAAUCACAGCUGUUUAUGGCUGUAGAUUAAGUGCUGAUGUAAAAACAACAAUAACAAAAAAAAAAAAAAAAACAGGUCAGAGCAGUUUUGGUAAUACUGUUCCCGGUUGUUCUGGAACUACAUUUACCAGGGUUUUCUAUUUUUGGGGGCUAGAAAUGAUCUUACAAUGACAAAUAAUUUAUUAGCUGGUGAAGCAGGGUAAUAGGAAACCAGUAGACCCAACAGUGGUGGUGUACCUCCUGCUGAUUGUGUGUAAUUGAAUCAUUAACUGAAAGGAGGCUUGUUCAACAUGGGAGCAGUGUGAGUUUAAUCAGUGAGGUCAUUCACCGACGUCAAACAGACGGCUCUUAUUUCAGGACGACGGCAGGAAGUGUCAUCAUCCAGGCUGUGCUGCAGUUCUCUCUGAAACAGAUCAUUGUUCUGUGCAAAACAUCUUACUUUGACUUAAACUGAAUCACAACCCAGGUAAAAUUAUAUUAAAAGUUGCAACCAGAAAGAUGGAGAAGACAAUGGAAACCUACCAUUCAAUUAGACAUGAUGGGCCUUUUUUUUUUUUUGACUGAACUGAAACACUGAAUUCCACAGCAGAUCUACAUGGUAAGGUUGUCAAAGUCAAGCUAGCAUAACAGAUCUACGUCUCUCUCCCUCACUAGCUUUUCUUUCAAUAAAAACUUUUUCCUGAUGUGAUGCCCUUGGACCUUGCUCUCUAGUUGUUGUAGUGUUGACAAUUAGUAGCAGCUGCGUCCCUUUUUUAAAAUAAAUCUCACGUACAUUUAAGGUUUGCUGCAUCAUGUUGCCAACUUGACAGCUAAAACCAGUGGCAGUCAAAGUUAUUGAGUGGUUUUUUGUCCUCUCUAUUACGUGUAAAAUCACAUGGCAAUUUGCCUGUAGACUACUAUGAGCUCACAUUUUCUGAAUCUUUUCUUUCUUUCCAUUAGUACAAUGUUCCCACCACUUCUGGGGCCCUUCAUUUCAGGCCCUAAAAUUGAUGACCUUUUAUAGGCAUCAGGUGCAGACAGAAUCAGUCCAACUGGAAUGAUAUAUUAUUGGUAUGCAAUGUGUGAAUGCAUGCAAGCAUUCCAUUACACUCACUAAUAUUGUGAUGAUAAUUGUGGGUUCCAUAUAUAAUGCAGUUCAAGGACAAAUCUGCAUGCUUACAAAGCCGACAGUUUUAAUGCGUCACCUCCUAGUUUGUUAAGCUAGGAGGUUGAAAGACAUACAGAGCUUUUGAAGUCCCAGCAACAUAAUACACAACAUAUUCAAAUAAAAUUGGUGUGUUGUCUCCCAUUAAGCUGCAGACAAGCUUAUGUGUGCUACAGUUCAAGUUCCACAGAAACACUCGUCUGUAGAAUUUCAAACGGAACUUGUCUGAUGGCCCAAACCGCUUGAAGUUUUGCUUCGGCACAGCACACACACUUCGUCUGAUCCUCAUUUUGCCUUUCCCUUUGAAGGAAUACACAAACGCAUGUAUACUGACAAUACAUACACAUAAACACGCACCCACACACACACACACCUACGCAAUUCUUUCCUACUUUGAUUUUAUUUUCUGCAACAGGUCUCUGUCCCUGUGGUUGUUUAUUAUAAUGUACAAAAGUCA